GAGAGAAAGACCCUGUUUUUAGAGUCACAGUAAAGCAGUUAGAAAACAAACUGAAACUAGAAUUCUAGUUUUAGAACCAUGUAGAUGUGUAGAGGUGUUCUGAAACGGUCAUUCUAGAACAGAGUUAAAACGGAGCUGUUCUAGAGGUGGUCUGAAACUAUCAUUCUAGAACAGAGUUAAAACGGAGCUGUUCUAGAGGUGCUCUGAAACGGUCAUUCUAGAACAGAUUUAAAACAGAGCUGUUCUGAAACUAUCAUUCUAGAACAGAGUUAAAACAGAGCUGUUCUAGAGGUGUUCUGAAACAGUCAUUCUAGAACAGAUUUAAAACAGAGCUGUUCUGAAACUAUCAUUCUAGAACAGAGUUAAAACAGAGCUGUUCUAGAGGUGUUCUGAAACUAUCAUUCUAGAACAGAGUUAAAACAGAGCUGUUCUAGAGGUGCUCUGAAACUAUCAUUCUAGAACAGAUUUAAAACUGAGCUGUUCUAGAGGUGUUCUGAAACUAUCAUUCUAGAACAGAUUUAAAACUGAGCUGUUCUAGAGGUGUUCUGAAACUAUCAUUCUAGAACAGAUUUAAAACUGAGCUGUUCUAGAGGUGUUCUGAAACUAUCAUUCUAGAACAGAUUUAAAACUGAGCUGUUCUAGAGGUGCUCUGAAACUAUCAUUCUAGAACAGAUUUAAAACUGAGCUGUUCUAGAGGUGCUCUGAAACUAUCAUUCUAGAACAGAUUUAAAACAGAGCUGUUCUGAAACUAUCAUUCUAGAACAGAUUUAAAACUGAGCUGUUCUAGAGGUGCUCUGAAACUAUCAUUCUAGAACAGAUUUAAAACAGAGCUGUUCUGAAACUAUCAUUCUAGAACAGAUUUAAAACUGAGCUGUUCUAGAGGUGCUCUGAAACUAUCAUUCUAGAACAGAUUUAAAACUGAGCUGUUCUAAGAGGUGUUCUGAAACUAUCAUUCUAGAACAGAGUUAAAACAGAGCUGUUCUAAAGGUGUUCUGAAACGGUCAUUCUAGAACAGAUUUAAAAC